rnacentral:misc_RNA from 1 species
CAAAGCGCCAAAAGAUGGCGCCACAGAGUCACAAAUAACCGGAAUGCAAUCAAUGAUUUCAAUCAGGUCGGAAUAACAACAACAGCAACAAACAUCGUUUGAAUUUGCCAGGAACGUACGGGCAAAUUUUCCAAUGAAUGAAGAUGGCUCUGCAUGGACUCAUGGCAUUAGUCCAGCUAUGUUGGAACCUGCUGAUCACAUAUAUGUGUGGAGGUGUGGUUACAGUCACCAUGGAAUCUGGACUGGUUCAGAAGUGAUUCACUA